UACAGAGACUGCAAGCGUUAUUCGGAUUCACUGGGCGUAAAGGGUGCGCAGGCGGCCAAGUGUGUGAGGCGUGAAAGCCCGGGGCUUAACCCCGGAAUUGCACCUCAAACUACAUGGCUAGAGCAUUGGAGAGGGUAGCAGAAUUCAUGGUGUAGCAGUGAAAUGCGUAGAUAUCAUGAGGAAUACCAGCGGCGAAGGCGGCCUUCUGGACGGUGACUGACGCUGAGACGCGAAAGCGUGGGGAGCAAACAGG
rnacentral:rRNA from 1 species